UGGGGAAUAUUGGGCAAUGGGCGAAAGCCUGACCCAGCAACGCCGCGUGAGGGAAGAAGGGUUUCGGCUCGUAAACCCUCUGUCCUAUGGGACGAAGGAAGUGACGGUACCAUAGGAGGAAGCCCCGGCUAACUACGUGCCAGCAGCCGCGGUAAUACGUAGGGGGCGAGCGUUGUCCGGAAUGAUUGGGCGUAAAGGGCGCGUAGGCGGCCUGUUAAGUCUGGAGUGAAAGUCCUGCUUUCAAGGUGGGAAUUGCUUUGGAUACUGAUGGGCUGGAGUGCAGGAGAGGAAAGCGGAAUUACCGGUGUAGCGGUGAAAUGCGUAGAGAUCGGUAGGAACACCAGUGGCGAAGGCGGCUUUCUGGACUGAAACUGACGCUGAGGCGCGAAAGCGUGGGGAGCAAACAGGAUUAGAUACC
rnacentral:rRNA from 1 species